ensembl:snoRNA
CGCUUAACAUGUGCAUAGUUUUCACCUGUGUCUGGUAGCAGUACCUAUGUUUUGCAUUCAGAUCUUGCCAUUCACACAAACAUCAAAGAGAAACCCUAGAAUCAUAGUACUGGCCUGGUGUUGUCUCUUGGGACAUAACUCCCACUGACCUGCCUCCAGAUUUCCAUACAUUA